rnacentral:lncRNA from 1 species
CUCUCUCACUGGCAGCAACCCAGCGCUUCCAUUGCUGACCUCUACCGACCUCUACCUGUGGUCCUUCCUCUACUGCAGCAGAGACACUGUUUUCUUCCUUUGUUCUUCCAACCCCAUGGGGAAUAUCACAGAAGUGAAGUGCAAUUCUCAUCAUGUCAUAUCAAGAGCACACACUAACAAACAACAUGACUUAUUGCUGAAUAUUGAACUUGAUCACCUGGCUGAGGUAGUGUUUGCCAGAUUUCUCUGUAAAGGUGAAUAAACUGACACUGGAACAUUCAGGAACUUCUUCAUGGUCAUGGUCACCCAGCUAGAGUGUGGAAGCCAGGCUGUCUGAUUCCAGGAUCUGUGUUCUUAAUCCUAUACAUAAGGAAGCCAUAAUGAGUCAACCACUAUUUUUAAGAUUCACAGAUGUUCGGGUCCAAUUCACCAGAAUGCCAAGUUAUACAGGGUUGUGGAAUCAAAAACUGCAAUUAGUAAUAAAAUGUGAUGCUAUCUAGAAUGUUUUUCAUACAUAUAUAUGCUUCUUGGGACUCUCCCUGCAGGUUAAGAGAAAUUGAGAAACGAUGGAGAAUUUAAGUGUUUUAGAUCCUACAUACAUUAGACUUAAAAAUAGUAACUAUGUACAUGAGUAUUUGUAAACUUAAGAAUGAACAUAACAUGAACCAUGUGGCACCUAUAAAAUGAAAAUAAAAUACCUACAAACCAAAUGAGAGCAAUAAAAGAAGCUUUAAGGACUUUCACUUCAGGGAGUCUGAAUUAGAUGCGCUUCUUCCCAUUCCUCCCUCUAAUUACAACAAGCUUGGACGUUACAUACAGAACAAACAGAAGGAGUCUCUGAAAGAUGAAGAGAAGGCAAGUAAGCUACAGACUUCACAAUGUAAGGAAUAAUAUGGUGGUGAGUUACAUUUGUGAUUUUUUUUUGUCUCAUAUCCCAUAAUAUCUCAUAUCUCAUAAUCAGUUAGAAAGCACAAUGGAAAAGUAUUCCACUGCCAAUGGUGUUAGAGAACUGCUCACAAAUUCAACAGAAAUGCACAGAUACCAAAGCAGAAAGGACAAUAAACAAGAGUCUUCAUGGUCAAAAGAUUAGAAGCUGCAGCUUUCAAUGGGAGGGACAGGUUCUGGACCACACUGCAGUGCUUUUCUGCUUUCUGUGCUUUCCCACUCUAGAGCUGAAGAAGGUAACGACCCCAAAAUGUCAAUAUACGUAGACCAAAAACCAGCCCCAAUAAAAGUCUGCUCUCUCUAGCCAAAGGACUACAGUAGGGCAGCCCAGCAAGACAGAAAACCUUCAGACAACCUACCCCAGCCAAACACUACCAAAAAAAGUAAAGUGAGCCAUCACCCAAUCCACAUCAGUAAAAACUAAGUGGAAAGUCCAGACUUUCACCUCAAGAGGUUGCGACAAGCUACUCCAAUACCCCUGCUGGGAUAGUGUCACAGAAGGCUAAAUAAGGAGCUGUAAUGUUGAUUCCCCUCCAGAAGUAAAGAGUCCGUACCUGCUAUUUUCAGAGAGACCACAUGGAAAGCCUAGAUUUCAACACCUACCCAGCAUUAAUGAGGUAUUCCUUCCCUUCUUUACUCUCUGGUGUCAAAGAAGCUCCAUGCAGAGUCAGAAUGUUUGGCAUUACUCCUCAGUAGGGAGGCCACCCCCACCACGGUGUUAGUGGAGACCAUGUGAGGACCAGGACUUGUACCCUGCCCAGAAGUAAUGAGUAGACCCCCCUCUACAGGAAGGCCAAAGGGCAACCUAAACUUCUACCUCUCUCUGGCAGUAAUAAAGUAGGGCCUCACUUUUCCCUGCUGAGCAAUGUCAAAAAAAAAAGCCAGCUGAAGUAAAAGCUUAUUUCUUUCUUUCUUUAUACAUAUUUUUGGAGACAGGGUCUUAUUCUGUCACCCACGCUGGAGUACAGUGGCCUCAUCAGGUCUCACUGCAGCCUCAACCUCCUGGGCUCAAGCAAUCCUCCCACCUCAGCCUCUUGAGUAGCUGAGACCACAGAUGUGCACCACCACACAUAGCUAACAUUAACAUUUUUUCUAGAGAUGGGGUCUUCCUGUGUUGCCCAGGCUGGUCUGGAACUCCUGGGCUCAAGUGAUCCUCCCACCUUGACCUCCUGGAGGGCUGGGAUUACAGGUAUGAGUCAUCACUCCAGGCUGAAGCUUUAUAUAAUAACCAGAGUCUCAUAUUACAAAAUGUCAAAGAUUCAGUCAAAAGUUACUUGAUAUCAAUGGACAAGAUCUCAAACUAAAUGAAAAAAAGACAAUUAAUAGAUGCUAACACUGAGAUAACAAAGUUGUUAGAAUCAUCUAACAAAGAUUUUAAAGCAGCUAUAAUAAAAGUGCUACUGCAAGUGAUUAUAAACAUGCUUGAGACAAAUGAAAAAGUGCUAUAAAGCUAAGAAAUAAAAUAUAUAAAUAAGAAUCAAAGAGAAAUUAUAGAACUAAAAGAUACCAUAACUGAAAUGCAAAGCUCCGUGGAUGGACUCAACAACAGAAUGGAAAAGACUGAGGAAAGAAGUAGUUUACAGGAAAUUAGAAUAGACUAGAAAAAAUGAACAAGACCCUGUGCUAAAGAGCAAAUAUUUAUGUCAUUGGAUUCCAGGAAAGAGAAAAGAAUGAAAAAGUACUUAAAUAAUGGCUUAAAAACUUCUCACAUUUUGCAAAGAUUUAAACCUACAAUUUGAGAAGCUGGGUAAACCUUAAACAGGAUAAAUCAAGGACACUCACACCAAGAAACAUAGUAAUUAAACUUCUGAUUAAGGAAGAAAAAGAAAAAUCUGGAAAGCAGCAAGAAAAAAAUGACACACUUUCUAUAUGGUAAAAGCAAUUUGAACAACAGAAGAUUUCUCAUCAGAAACUGUGGGGACCAUGAGGAAGUAACAGAUAUUUUUCAAGUGCUGAAAUAAAUCAACUGUCAAUACAAAAUGCUCUACUCAGUGAAAAUAUCUUUCAGGAAUAAAGGGGAAAUCAGGACACGCACAGACUUUUUUUAAAUUAAGAAUUUAUUGUCAGCUUAUCUCCCUAAAAGAAUGGCUAACAUUCUCCAAACACGAAGGAAAUUGAUAAGGAAUCUUGAAAUUUCAGUUAGAAACAAUGAAUAUGGCAAGCAAAAUGUAGGUCAGUACACUAAGUUUAAUUUCUCCUCUUGAAUUUUCUAAAUUAUGACUUAUGAUUGAAGCAAAAAUCAUAACAUUAUCUGAUGUAUAUGUAGAGGAAAGAUUUAAGACAGUGAUGUUAUAAAUGAGGGGAGUAAAGGAACAUGAGAUAACCACUAAUAUGACAUACCAAUAGACUAUGAUAAAUUAUGUGUCUAAUGUGAUUACUAGAAAAACCAGUUAAAAUAUAAAGAUUGACGGAGUGAAUUUAAAAACAUGACACACUAUAUGCUGUUUAUCAUAAACUCACUUUGAAGAUAAUGCCAUCGUCAGGUUGAAAUCAAAAGGAAUAAAAUAGUGUAUUAUGUAAACCAUCAAAAAGAGCAGGAAUGGCCAUAUUAAUAACAUUAAAGUCAGCUUCAGAACUAAGGAAAUUAUCAGAGAGGGACAUUAUAUAAUGAAAUAGUCGAUUUACCAAAAGAACAUAGCAAUCAUAAAUGUGCAUGAAGCAAACAACAAAGCUGGAAAAUAUAUGAAGUGAAACUGAUAGAUCUAAAAGGAGAAACAGAUAAAUCCAUUCAUUAUAGUUGGGGCCUUUAUCACCCCUCACUCAACAAUUGAUAGAACUGGACAGAAAACCAGUAAGAAUAUAAAAGAACUCAACAACAUGAGACAAUAGGAUCUAGUUGAUAUUUAUAGAACAUUCCAACAGCAGAAUACAUGUUCUUCAAGUGCUCACAGAACACACAUAUAAAGAUAGACCCUGAGCAUAAAACAAGCCUCAACAAAUUUAAAAGAACUGAAAUACUACAAGUACUUUCUCCAACCACAAAAGAACCAAACUAGAAAUAAAUAACAAUGAUAAUGGGAAAAUCACCAAACACUUGAAAACUGAACAACAAUAUUUUAUAACCCAUGGUCAUAGAGGAAAUCUCAAAAGAAAUUUUAAAAAUGCACUGAACUGAAUGAAAAUGAAAACAACAUAAAAUUUGUGAGACACAUAAAGCAGAACUGAUGGGAAAAUAUAUAGCACUAAAUGCAUGCUCUAGAAAAGAAAAGUCUUCAACCAGUAACCUAAGCUUCCACCUCAAAAACCUAAAAAAAGAAGGAAAAAUAGACCCAAUGCCAGCAGAAAGAUGCAAUAACAAAGAGUAGAACUCAAUGAAAUUGAAAACAGAUAAACACUUUAAAGAAUAAAACAAAGAGCUGGUUAUUAGAAAAGAUCAAUUAAUUGAUAAACCUCAAGCAAGACCGUCAAAAAAAAAAAAAAAAGGACUUACCUAUACCAGAGAUGAAAUGGGAUAUCGCUAUCAAUACUGCAAACAUCAAAAGGAUAAGUAGAUACUAUGAACUGUACACACAUUAAUCUGACAAUUUAGACAAAAUAGAUCAUUUCCCUAGAAAACACAAACUACUACAGCUUACCCAAUAUAAAAUAGAUUAUUUGAAUAGCCUUAUAAGUACUAAAAAAAAAUUAAUUAAACUCAUUAUUUAAAAAUUCCUAAAAAGAAAGCCUCCAGAGCCAAAUUGUUUCCUUCAGAAUUCCACCACAUUCAUAAAGAUUUGACAGCAAUUCUAUACAGUCUCUUUGAGAAAAUAGAAGGGGGUAUUUUCUAAUUCAUUUUAAGGAGCUAGUAAAUACCCUGAUACUGAAAUGUAUACUGCAAAUUGAUAAAAUUAUAGACCCCUGCAUAUUAAAUUUCAAAAUAAAAAUGAUAAAAAUACUUGGGUAAUGAAUAACAGCAUAACAAAAAACCACAGACCAAUAUCUCAUGAACAUAGACACAAAAAAUGCUUCACAAUAUGACAUAGAAUUCAGUAAUACAUGAGAAUUAUAUACCACAACCCAGUAAGACUUAAUCCAAGAAUGGAAGACUGGCUCAAUAUUUAAAAAUCAAUCGAUGUAGUGCAAAUAUUAAUAGCUAAUGAAGAAAUGUCAUAAAAUUAAUGCAGAAAAAGGAUUUGACAAAAUUCAACACUCAUUUAUGUAAAAAUGCUCUGAAAAAUAGGAAUUAAAGGACACCUACAAGAAACUUUCAGCUAACAUAAUUCUUAAUGCUGAAUGAUUGAAUGUUUUCUUCCUGAGCUUGAGAAUAAGGUGAGGGUAUCAUCCCUAAUGACGCUUAUUCAACAUAGUGCUCAAAGUUCUAUGAAGUGCAAUUAGGCAAUAAAGGGAAAUAAAAGACAGGUAAAAGAAGAAAUUAAAUUUUAUUUGAAAAAGCUGAUUGUCUACCUAGAAAAUCUCAAGGAAAACACUAUUAAUAUACAGAACAACCUGAAUGAAUCUUUGGAGAAUUACGCUGCAUCAGAAAAAGCCAAUCACAAAAGAUUACAUACUAUGUAAUUCCAUUUGUAUAACAUUUUGAACUGACAAAAGUAUAGAAAUGAACAGAUUAGUGGUUGUUAGGGGUGAGGGGUUAUGGGUCAGAGAUAGGAGUUGGGGAUAUAAAAAGGCAACCUGAGGGAUCCUUAUGGUGAUUGAAACAUUCUGUAUGUUGGUUCUAUCAAUGUCAAUACUCUGGUUGGACUAUGGUUCCACAGUUUUGCAAGAUGUUAUUGAGGAAAACGGCAUAAAUGGUGCCCAGGAUCUCUCUAUUGUUUCUUACUGAUUAUGUAUCUGCAAUGAUUGCAAAAUAAAAAGGUUUAAUUUUUAAAAAGGAUUAAACAUUACAUAGCAUACACUUGAGUAAAAGACAAAAUCUGGCUAAGGAUUAUUUUUGUCCUAAGUAAUAUGUGGAUUUUGUACAACAUAAAUCACAAUCCCCUAAAAUCUAUAUUGUAAAUUGAUAAAAUGUAAAACCUGUGUAUUACAGAAUAAAAGAUGAACAAAAAUUACAAAACA